AACCAUAGAAACCUGCGGAGUACCUGCGGAAGGAUCAUUACUGAAUGGCCGCAAGGCCUUCAAACCUUCAAAACCUGUGGAAGCAAAAUGUGCUUCGGCGUCCUUUUGGGCGCCGCUUUUAUGCAUAAUCAUUGGCUUGUCUGACAAUAUUCAAAAAGAAUCAAAACUUUUAGCAAUGGAUCU
rnacentral:misc_RNA from 1 species